rnacentral:rRNA from 1 species
GACGAACGCUGGCGGCGUGCCUAAUACAUGCAAGUCGAGCGGACGAAUCGAAAGCUUGCUUUUGAUUCGUUAGCGGCGGACGGGUGAGUAACACGUGGGCAACCUGCCCUGUAGACGGGGAUAACACCGAGAAAUCGGUGCUAAUACCGGAUAACACGAAAUGUCGCAUGACGUUUCGUUGAAAGACGGCGCAAGCUGUCGCUACAGGAUGGGCCCGCGGCGCAUUAGCUGGUUGGUGAGGUAACGGCUCACCAAGGCGACGAUGCGUAGCCGACCUGAGAGGGUGAUCGGCCACACUGGGACUGAGACACGGCCCAGACUCCUACGGGAGGCAGCAGUAGGGAAUCUUCCGCAAUGGACGAAAGUCUGACGGAGCAACGCCGCGUGAGCGAAGAAGGCCUUCGGGUCGUAAAGCUCUGUUGUUAGGGAAGAACAAGUAACGCAGUAACUGGCGUUACCGUGACGGUACCUAACGAGAAAGCCACGGCUAACUACGUG